rnacentral:rRNA from 1 species
GACGAACGCUGGCGGCGUGCUUAACACAUGCAAGUCGAACGGAAAGGCCCUGCUUUUGUGGGGUGCUCGAGUGGCGAACGGGUGAGUAACACGUGAGUAACCUGCCCUUGACUUUGGGAUAACUUCAGGAAACUGGGGCUAAUACCGGAUAGGAGCCCCUGCUGCAUGGUGGGGGUUGGAAAGUUUCGGCGGUUGGGGCUGGACUCGCGGCUUAUCAGCUUGUUGGUGGGGUAGUGGCUUACCAAGGCUUUGACGGGUAGCCGGCCUGAGAGGGUGACCGGCCACAUUGGGACUGCGAUACGGCCCAGACUCCUACGGGAGGCAGCAGUGGGGAAUAUUGCACAAUGGGCGGAAGCCUGAUGCAGCAACGCCGCGUGCGGGAUGACGGCCUUCGGGUUGUAAACCGCUUUCGCCUGUGACGAAGCGUGAGUGACGGUAAUGGGUAAAGAAGCACCGGCUAACUACGUG